GCACAGAGAGGCGAAACAACUUGUUCAAAGUCACGCAGCUGGUAUGGGACGGAGACUGGCUUCCAGCCAGGUUACUCUGUCCCUAGAAGCUGCCUGUUCGGCCCCCACACCAUACCGACUCCUUGAAGUGAUGCCGUAGAAGGUUGAUUAUGAGGAUUAAAGAAAGAUAAGCAGGUCAUGAUGCAAGCAGACGAUUGUUCCAUGCUGGUGCUGUUGUCAUGGAAUGCGUCCUUCCCUGCCAUCCCAGCUGAGCCCAAUCCCCAGCCAAGCCACCAGGUAACUGCAGCGGGAAGCUGCUAUACUGCCUGGCGUAUUUCUACCCUCAACACAUUUUUAUUGACAUAAACUUUAUCCUUCCAACAACCCUGUCAGUCAUCCUAGGACACAGGUGUGCAUCCCCCACAGCCAGCCAGCAGAGAAGAUGAAUCAGCUUCCCUGAAAGAUGUGCCCCGGAGCAGUCUGUCGGCUGAAACUCUUCUGAAGCAGCACCGCUCCCCUUCUGACCACAGCUAAUGAAAAUGUGUGGCUUGCCAGGAGGAAGAAUCUCUGUUAUUCUUUAAAGGAACAAUGCUGACCACAGAUGUGCAGCAUCUGGUAUGUGGUAGAGGACAGUAACUGGACCAGCCAGUUCAUGAAAUGCCUUUGGGUCCAGGCAUGUAUUUUUCUACUUUUAGUUAUAGAUUUUGGUUAUCAGAAGUGGAAAUGGAAGUCCAAAUGCCUUUUUCCAUCACUUGGUAUAUUUUAUAAUAUGCCCCCUUGCCCCCACCCAUUUAUCUUCCGUGGCUCUUGAUGAAUAUGAUUGAGAUGUCCAAAGCUAGAACUCUUUCCAACUGCAAAUAAGAGAAGCCCAGUCCAAGUUGUUUUAAGCAAAAAAUGACUUUAUUGAGUGAUGUAACUUAAAAUCUGGGACUGUUUGACUUCAAAGUCAGGUAUAGCUGCAUCCAGGUGUUCACAUGGAUGGCCCAGGUUAGACCACCUUGGGACGUGUCACCA